CCUGGUGGCUCAGAUGGUAAAGUGUCUGCCUAUAAUGCAGGAGACCUGGGUUCAAUCCCUGGGUCAGGA
rfam:TPA: Bos taurus chromosome 6, whole genome shotgun sequence.